rnacentral:rRNA from 1 species
UACGUAGGGGGCAAGCGUUGUCCGGAUUUAUUGGGCGUAAAGAGCGUGUAGGCGGCUGGGUAGGUCCGUUGUGAAAACUCGAGGCUCAACCUCGAGACGCCGAUGGAAACCCUCCAGCUAGAGUCCGGAAGAGGAGACUGGAAUUCAUGGUGUAGCAGUGAAAUGCGUAGAUAUCAGGAGGAACACCGGUGGCGAAGGCGGGUCUCUGGGCCGAUACUGACGCUGAGGAGCGAAAGCGUGGGGGAGCGAACAGG